AAGAGCGCAUCAAGGAGUUGUAGAGUGACACCAAGCGUAUUUUGAGCCAAUAUACAGUUGGCGAAACGAAUGUUCUGGUUCAAAAUGUCACCGGUUUUAAUACAGACCAUUGCUACAUAAAUAAAUUUCCUAUGCGAAAUCAAGAAGCAUUUAAACAAAUGGAUGGAUAUAUCAAUUAACACAAAUAAUGUUGCUGAUAUGUAUACAAUCAAUAGUUUUUAAUAAAGGGGAAUGUUUCAAAUAAUCUUGAAAAUAUAUGGGACAAAAAUAUUAUAUUAUUUCACAACUAUGAUGAAAGAAAUGGUAAAAUUGCUUUUACAAAUUAUAAGUACUGUAUGUCAGCAUUUUUUGAUGACGUAGACAAAUCUCCUAACGAAUUUAAAAGUGAUUUAAGAGUCGCAAUAAGAAGAGUAAAAAACAAAAUACAAGACGAAAUAUCGUUAAAGAAGACUUAGU